UAGGGAAUAUUAGGAAUGGACGAAAGUCUGAUCUAGCAACACCGCGUGUGCGAAGAAGGCCUUCGGGUCGUAAAGCACUUUUUGGAAGGAAUAGGAAGGAAUGUACUUCCAGAAUAAGUCUCGGCUAACUACGUGCCAGCAGCCGCGGUAACACGUAGGAGGCGAACGUUAUCCGGAUUUACUGGGCGUAAAGCGCGUGUAGGUGGUACUGUAAGUAGGGCGUGAAAGCUCCUGGCUCAACUGGGAGAGGCCGUUCUAAACUACAGAACUAGAGGAUGGUAGAGGGAGGUGGAAUUCCAGGUGUAGCGGUGGAAUGCGCAGAUAUCUGGAGGAACACCGGUGGCGAAGGCGGCCCCCUGGACCAUUCCUGACACUCAGACGCGAAAGCUAGGGUAGCAAACGG
rnacentral:rRNA from 1 species